rnacentral:rRNA from 1 species
UGGGGAAUAUUGCACAAUGGGCGCAAGCCUGAUGCAGCCAUGCCGCGUGUAUGAAGAAGGCCUUCGGGUUGUAAAGUACUUUCAGCGGGGAGGAAGGUGUUGAGGUUAAUAACCUCAGCAAUUGACGUUACCCGCAGAAGAAGCACCGGCUAACGCCGUGCCAGCAGCCGCGGUAAUACGGAGGGUGCAAGCGUUAAUCGGAAUUACUGGGCGUAAAGCGCACGCAGGCGGUCUGUCAAGUCGGAUGUGAAAUCCCCGGGCUCAACCUGGGAACUGCAUUCGAAACUGGCAGGCUAGAGUCUUGGAGAGCGGGGUAGAAUUCCAGGUGUAGCGGUGAAAUGCGUAGAGAUCUGGAGGAAUACCGGUGGCGAAGGCGGCCCCCUGGACAAAGACUGACGCUCAGGUGCGAAAGCGUGGCGAGCAAACA